rnacentral:lncRNA from 1 species
UAUAUAUAGUUGAGCUAGAAUACCAUCGAUAGCAAACGGGUUCCGUUGUCACCCAUUUGUUUUCGAUGAUGAAGCCUCCAAAUCGACGAUCAGCACCGUUGAAUAUGAUCUAUAUCACUUGAAGAGUUUAGAAAUCAAUUUUUAUACAUUUUCGAUAUUAUUCUCUUAUCCAUCGAGUGGAGACAAAAAUGAACGGCUGAAAAUGAAUAUUCUUUAAAAGAUGAUGAUAGGAGUCUUGUAAUCAAGAUCAAGAAUAUAGAACUUAUUUUAUAUAGUUUAACGAAUUUUCUAGCAAAAAUUCAAUUGGUGUGGAUAUUUUUACGCCGUUAAACGAGAA